CAGUCGCCACGGUAAUACGGAGGGGGCUAGCGUUGUUCGGAAUUACUGGGCGUAAAGCGCACGUAGGCGGCUUGGUAAGUUAGAGGUGAAAGCCUGGAGCUCAACUCCAGAAUUGCCUUUAAGACUGCCGAGCUAGCAGGUGAGAGAGGUAAGUGGAAUUCCGAGUGUAGAGGUGAAAUUCGUAGAUAUUCGGAAGAGCACCAGUGGCGAAGGCGGCUUACUGGCUCAUACUGGACGCUGAGGUGCGAAAGCGUGGGGAGCGAACAGGAUUAGAUACCCGGGUAGUCCCUGUCUCUUAUAC
rnacentral:rRNA from 1 species